UGGUAUUAUGUGCAAAUCUGUGCAAACCACUGAAGUCCUGGAAUACUAAGGGACUUUCUCGGUAUAUUUUACACACUCAUCUGCACACGUUUGUGAAGACAGUAAAUAUCAACCAGGGUGCUGUGAGGAUUAGCUCCAGUCAGCAGCAAGCCCCAGUGAAAGGAGGCACAUCUGCAGGCCCCUGCUGACCUGUGUGGGGACGAUUGGGAGGGAACCAGCAGAGCCACAGGUCGGAUGGACCCUCAUCCUCCGUUUUUAUCCAGAAGUAGUCUUCAAGUUUAUGAACAUGUCAGAGUGGGCUGCAAGGCCAAUAGCUGUGAAUAUUCCAGUUCUGCAUGUCUCGUGGCAGCCUUGGGCGUGGUUUCCAGACGACACUGACGGUGGACAUUUGUGCCUUCUCAUCCCUCUCUCCCUGCUCCUCCCCUGAGAAGAGGAUCGCGUUUUAAGGAAAUGAACACAUUCAGUCCCCUAUGCCCCAAAUUUAAAACAAAGAAGAAAUUUUGCUGAAAACCAACUCAAGCAAACUCAAUCGGAAACAUAUUUCCUCCCCCUUACCCCUCAAUUUGAUGCCGUCUGUCCUUAUUCAUCUCUGUCUUGCUUACCCAGUCUUGCCAGUGAGCAUCUAAGUGACAGCAUUAGCCAGCGUGGGUUCUGCUUCUCCUUUCCUCAUGCUACCCCUGUAGAAUAUCUAAAUAAUUGGGCAUAGUAAGGAUGCAGAAUGAAAAAAUUAAACAAGCAAUGGCUCUGAAAAUUUCUUGGCAUAGAGGAAGAACUGAUCACAAUUAUAAUGAGCUAUGUGUGUGGUAACAACAUCUGGUAUAGGAUACAUCCUAUAGGCCUUGUCAAAUUCUUCCGCCCUCACCCAUGCCCUGGACCCUUACCUCCUAGACUCACAGCUUAGGGAGGAAGCUCCAUGCAGGGCCUCAUGGCUCCCCUGUGUGGUCAGCUCUUCCCCCACUUCUGACGCCAUAAAAUGCCAUGCCACUAAAGAUCUGCGUCUCCAACAGAGGCCAGGUAACCCAACCCAGAAAUACAGGGGGUGAGCUUCCCAUGGGGUUCAUUUCAGUGAGUGGGGAAGAGGAGAGGCAGCAGGGAGGCAGCAGCAGGACUGUGUUCCUCCCUCCGAUGUGUCAUCUGAAGUUGGUCUUUCCCACAGCGUGUCCAGAGGUACCCCGCACCUCUCAAGCCACUGCUCGUGUCACUUCCUGGCUUACUAUGACACAGCAGCUGAUGCUCUAAUGCAUGGCCUCGCGUCCUUUCGCUACCUUUCGCUUCCUGUGUUGUGCUUCCCAAUGAAGCAUGAGCACUGGCCCUUGGCGCAUACCUCCACAGUUCUGCCUCUUUAUCCAUGAAUGAUUUGGUGUUGGUCAAAGGAUGAGAUCGCUUCUUCUUUAUUUUUUCCUUCAAAAAUCCCCGAGAUGAAAUGUUUGAGAACAAAGAAGAUGACAGCAGCUCUUUAAUUCUGUUUUUAAAUUUCUGUCUUAAAUUUGCUAGCUUAACUUUCUAAUUAACUUUGACCCUCUGCCUUUGGGUUUUCUUUUUUCUCUACUUGAAAAAAUCUGACUCAUCCUUCCCAGCCCAGGUAAGUGUGUUCUAAGUGAAGCCUUCCAUGCACACCUGCCAUUCCCGGCUGUGCCAUCUCUAGCCAGACGUGGCAGAGCCUGCAUCUGUGCUUCCUGCAGCACCGGCAUCGUGUUCUUGUUAGGUGGGUACUGUGAGUCUCCCCUUCCUCCACCAAGUCUUACUUGGACUGGCCCAUAGAAUGUGUUUAAGAAUGUUUGCUGAAUGCAGGGGGAUCCUUUUUGCAUCCAUCAUUGCUGCAUCUCCCUCAGUCCAGACAGGCCCACCUUACCCUGGGACAGGACAGAGGCCUCUUAGCCACCCUGCUGUGGUCUCCUUCUGAUAAUGCAAUCUGCAUAGACCACCAGGCUGCUCUUUUUUAGGAUGGCAUCCUUUCACCCCGAGAUCUCUGGCACCAAUAGAAAAGAAGUAGUAGAACAUAGAAAUAAUACAAAUGCAUGAAACCCAGAGAGACAGUAAUAGCACUAAAUAAAGGUUAGAUACAUCACAUCUGGUGUAAAUGUCUUUGGUAGUCAAGGUCUGGCUCCUUGACUGAGAGCAGGCAUGGCUCCUCUCUCCUGCCUGAGCCUGCUCAACUGUCCCCUGCUCUGGAGUAACUCAGGUCGCCCCUGCACCUAUUCAAAUCCUGUCCAUCAUUCAAUUUCCUGCCAUCAGAGAUGCUGGUGGAGUAGUAUGAGCAGACAGAUUUAUCCUUAUCUCGACUUUUGUGAGCAUGAGUGAUGUGCCAUUUGGUUUCUUGGGCUUGAGAUUGGAAUGUCUUAGGUUCUUUCUACCUCUUUCCGCAACAACACUGCAAGUUUUCUAAGAGCAGAAACCAUGUUUAAUGCUUCUUCAGUAAUCAUCCUGAUUCCUGGGCCAGCGAAGACUCAACAAAUAUUGGCUGAUUGAUCCAUUGCUACAGAAAUGAGCCUGACCAAACCUGGCAGAAGAGGUUAAUGAAAAUCUAUAGCCUAUUAAAGGGUACCAUUAAAUUUUAAAUUAAAAAAAUAAGUAAUUUUCUGUUAUUUUUUUCUUAUGUCAGCAUAGAGGAGGAAAAUACAACAUGCAUUUUUCUAUAUGUCUCUAGACAAGAGAGAGAAAUACUGCUAUGUGUUAUAAUAGUUCAUUAAAGCGUUCUUCUGCCCCCUUUCCUAGCAUAUGCUGGGAAUCUUCGUAGCAUGUAGGGUACAUUUUUUCUCAAUUAAUUUUUCUUUUUUGCUUUACUGGCAGUCAGUUUUUCUAAUAACCAUUUUUCUAAGUCAAACACUUUUAAGUCAGAGCGAAAAAUCUGAUUAAAAUCUAAAUUGCCUCAAGGAGCUGUGAUCUUCUGGUCUGCUCCUUGCACUUACAUGAUUUAUGCCCCAAAUUGCUACAUUAGGAUCGUAAGUCCAUUUUCCUUACCUAAGGGUUUUAAAAGGUUUGGAGCUUUGAACCCAAUAAUCCUAAUUUGGGAGCAAUUGCAUGCCCAGUGUCAAGAAUCUCAAGACUAGCAGUAGGUUAUGGAGUGAUUUUCCCAAAUGAUUUAAUCUUGGAGCAAUUCCAAAAGGCAGACACACAAUUUCUUUGUUGUUGGUUGCCCUUCCUCUUCUAACUAGUUAUUUAAAUAAAUUCAAUGC